UACGAAGGGGGCUAGCGUUGCUCGGAAUCACUGGGCGUAAAGCGCACGUAGGCGGAUCUUUAAGUCAGGGGGUGAAAUCCUGGAGCUCAACUCCAGAACUGCCUUUGAUACUGGGGAUCUCGAGUCCGGGGAGAGGUGAGUGGAACUCCGAGUGUAGAGGUGAAAUUCGUAGAUAUUCGGAAGAACACCAGUGGCGAAGGCGGCUCACUGGUCCGGUACUGACGCUGAGGUGCGAAAGCGUGGGGAGCAAACAGG
rnacentral:rRNA from 1 species